rnacentral:rRNA from 1 species
AGCGCAGGCGGGAAGACAAGUUGGAAGUGAAAUCUAUGGGCUCAACCCAUGAACUGCUUUCAAAACUGUUUUUCUUGAGUAGUGCAGAGGUAGGCGGAAUUCCCGGUGUAGCGGUGGAAUGCGUAGAUAUCGGGAGGAACACCAGUGGCGAAGGCGGCCUACUGGGCACCAACUGACGCUGAGGCUCGAAAGUGUGGGUAGCAAACA